CCCCCACCUCCUUUCCGAGUUCCCUUUGUGUUGCAUGUAGUCUCUCUCACUCCCUCUCUUCUGCAAAGUUUAUUUUUAGCCUCCUGCUCCCCCGCUCCCAGGACUGUCGCUGCACACACGUUGCCUGGUUACCGGGACACGGAGGCUGGGGCGGGUGGGCUGGGAAGGGUGGCUUUAAUUUUGGGGGGAGGGUGGAAGUCAGUACAUCCCCCACCCCCAGAUUGAUGUCUCAGGGGCUUCGGCCCCCCUUCUAGGUCUAGAGCCAGAUUGGGGCUGAGGUGGAAGUAACAUGGAGCUUGGUUCCCUGAGAGGGGCUGGGAGCUUUUUGGAGGGGAUGUGAGGGUCCAUGAAGCUGGUGGCUGGGUCACCUGGGUUCCAAAGGACCCUGGGCCUUGCAGGAGACCUUGUGAUCUGGAUUCUCUAGAAGGGGAAGACAGAAGCCUCUGUGUGUGCAAGCGCUGACCUCAUCGGCAACCAGUCACCCCACCCCUCCUGGUCCUUUUAAGAAAAAAAAAAAAAAAUCUUCCUCUCAGGUCUUGGGGUUGGGAGUAAGGGCUCUGUUGGGUCUUCGGAGGAGACAGUGCAUGUUUCUAAGGAGGACAUCCGAGGAGCUGGGGUGGUGCAACUGGCUCUGAA
rnacentral:lncRNA from 1 species